rnacentral:rRNA from 1 species
UUCAUGGCUCAGGACGAACGCUGGCGGCGUGCCUAAUACAUGCAAGUCGAGCGGACAGAUGGGAGCUUGCUCCCUGAAGUCAGCGGCGGACGGGUGAGUAACACGUGGGCAACCUGCCUGUAAGACUGGGAUAACUUCGGGAAACCGGAGCUAAUACCGGAUAAUGCUUUUGGACUCAUGUCCUUAAGCUGAAAGAUGGUUUAGGCUAUCACUUACAGAUGGGCCCGCGGCGCAUUAGCUAGUUGGUGAGGUAACGGCUCACCAAGGCAACGAUGCGUAGCCGACCUGAGAGGGUGAUCGGCCACACUGGGACUGAGACACGGCCCAGACUCCUACGGGAGGCAGCAGUAGGGAAUCUUCCGCAAUGGACGAAAGUCUGACGGAGCAACGCCGCGUGAGUGAUGAAGGUUUUCGGAUCGUAAAACUCUGUUGUUAGGGAAGAACAAGUA